rnacentral:rRNA from 1 species
UGGGGAAUAUUGCACAAUGGGCGCAAGCCUGAUGCAGCCAUGCCGCGUGUAUGAAGAAGGCCUUCGGGUUGUAAAGUACUUUCAGCGGGGAGGAAGGUGUUGUGGUUAAUAACCUCAGCAAUUGACGUUACCCGCAGAAGAAGCACCGGCUAACUCCGUGCCAGCAGCCGCGGUAAUACGGAGGGUGCAAGCGUUAAUCGGAAUUACUGGGCGUAAAGCGCACGCAGGCGGUCUGUCAAGUCGGAUGUGAAAUCCCCGGGCUUAACCUGGGAACUGCAUCCGAAACUGGCAGGCUUGAGUCUUGUAGAGGGGGGUAGAAUUCCAGGUGUAGCGGUGAAAUGCGUAGAGAUCUGGAGGAAUACCGGUGGCGAAGGCGGCCCCCUGGACAAAGACUGACGCUCAGGUGCGAAAGCGUGGGGAGCAAACA